UUCGAUAUAUGAAGGAUGAAUUGCCUGUAAAUUCGAAGGGUGUUCUUCUUAGUUUUCAGAAGCAGCUUUACAAACAAGUUGGUGAAAGCCUGAGUCCAUCGACAAUAUCCCACAUCGUCGAGAUACUAGAAGAUGACAGGACAAGCUACAUAUAA